GAAAAACAUUACAUUUCACGAAAAGAUGGAAAGUGAUUGGUAUCAAUUCACAAUGUUUCUGAUAUUUUCCUUGCUGUGGUAUCCACUGAAAUGGAUUUUGAUGAAAUAUUGCUUGGAUUAAGAUCACGUUCACUCACUACCAUGCGGCUCCACGGCUAAUUAGGAUGACCCAAUUCGGUCAGGUACACAACAAUCACCCCCUCGCUACGAGAGAGCAGCACAUCAACGUAGCCGUGUUCCAAAAUACAGUAAUCAAUAAACGAAUUAAUCCGUUUUCUCGCGAAACACAAAUAAAACCUGCUAAACCUUAAUUGA